rnacentral:tRNA from 1 species
GAUGGCCCAGUGGUUAAAGCAUUCGGCUGCUAACCGAAAGGUCAGAGGUUCAAACCUAUCAUUG